rnacentral:misc_RNA from 1 species
AAGUCGUAACAAGGUUUCCGUAGGUGAACCUGCGGAAGGAUCAUUAACACGUAUCCACGUAUCAACUAACCCGUGAAUAGUUUUCAUUCUCCCUCUGUUAGCAGUGAAUGAAUCGGAAUCGACCGCGAAUUAGAGUGGGCUCCUCGGAGCGACCGCGGUUCAUUACUGAAGCCUUAAAAAAGUUUCGACGAUUGUAUCACUGUAGAGGCUAAUUUCUUACCACUUGGGCUUCCAACUCUGUCGUGGUGGUAAGGAAAAUUUAAUAACCUAUAUAAACCGCUUUUUGCUAGUUGACUUUUAUAUGUGGCUCAUAGCUUCGGCUUUGAUCACACGUUUAAUUAUUUGAACGUUAAAAAUACAACUCUUAGCAAUGGAUAUCUUGGUUCUC